GGAAGAGAAUUUCUUUUUUAAAAAGAACUAUCAAGCAAUCUCACAACAUUUUCUCUGGUGCAUACAAUCUGUUAACCAGUCCUUUUCUUUUUUUAAAUAGUGUAUUUGUGUGUUUAAAAUGUGCACAUUCAUUUUUAUCCUUGAUUUAUUUUUUUAAAAAUUGUGUAAGUUAUCCAAUUUGACAGUAAAUGCUUUGUCUGAUAUGAGGCAAAUAUAGGGUAGUACAAAAAUAUAGUUAAGUGGGUAGGGUGGUUGGGGGUUAUUGUAUUAAGCAAGAUGAUUGAUUUGAUAAGAUGUUGAUUAUUCGUUAUCCCAUAUUCCUGUCUGAUCGGGGCUUUUUAAGAGGACAAAGCCCUAUAUGACGACAGUUCCCAUGCAUCUUUAGGAAGAUCUGAAUACUCAUUUAUUUCUCCAUAGCGCUCGAAACAUUGCACUGAUACCUAUUUGCAUCGAAGUCUUUCCCUUUUUUUUCCCCCCUGUUAAUGAUGGUCAGGAUAUGACUUGAGAAGGAUAUUAUUCCCCUCUUGUCAUUGCAUUUUAUGAUAUUAAGUUCACAUUUGCCAAAAAGAAAAAAAUUAACCAAGUACAAGUAACUAUUCCAACUUGUUUGAGUUUUGGUGAGUGUUCAACUUUUUUUUUUCUUGUGCCCAGGGUACAUUGUCCUUUUUUUUUUUUUUCAAUAUACAUUUUAUUCCAAUGGACACACUCGCUAUUGGAAGACCCUUGUAUCCACCUUUAUUUCUCAUCCAAGAAACGGAGAAGACUAUGGAUUUUAUAUAAAUCUGCAGUUGAAUUUGAUUUCUGGGAUGUAUGGGGGAGGAGACAGGGGGGUAGGAUGGCAGGUUGAAGUGUCCACCAUUCGAUGAGAAGAUGUGUGGUUGAAGUCGGUGCCUGAUUUUGUAGUGCUGGUCCUCUCAUAACAUUGCAUUGUAUGUCACCUAUUGUUAUAGUAACAAAUUUUUUAUUAUGUUCUAUGUCCAAAAAUGAGUUCUUCCUGUAUUUGGAAGUUUCGGAAAGAGUCUGUACGAAAUGAAGCCAUCAAAAGUUGACUGUGGUCGAAAAAUCUGUGUUUAUUUAAUCACAUGCUAAUGAAUGAUUUGGAUUUAAUUUAUGAUAAUGAAGAGAAGAAAAGAAAUACAGCGCUAAAUUUAAUUGAUGAUUGUAUUUUUAUUGUUGAAAUUCAUGCACUUAUUUGUUGCACACUUUAUUAUUUUGUAUGGCAAAUACUACCAAAAAAAAAAUGAAGCAAGCUUUGAAUUAAUAUUUCAGAACUGCUUUAUAAAUAUCGAACAAUAUUCGGGUAUUUCUUACCAUUAUUAUUAAUUAUUAUUUUUUUAUGAAAUUAAUUCUUCCCUGAAUGAUAUGAUAUUGUUUGUGAGCAUGUAAUUUGUAACGGGGGUUUGCUGAUCUAAUGUUGAUUUGCCAUGGCGGAGGAAUGCGCUGUAGGAUAAGAGAUAUGAGUUCACCUUUGUCACCCGACUUACACAGGAGAGCAACGGUUCUGAACAUGAAACCCUAGGACAAUGCCAACAACACUGUACCCCUAUAUAAAUGUGGGUUAUCUUUAUCUGUCUGGUUUAAUCUAGACCUCUCAAGAUUUAAAUAAAAUACAGUACAUGCACACUUAUGAAUAGGUGAAUAUUGUUAGUAAAAAAAAAAAAAAAAAAAAAUUCCCAUAUGUGCAUGUACCCUCAAAGCUCCAAUUCCUUCAGAACAUUACCGGUAAUAUAAAAACAGAUUGUUAUGAUAUAUUGUACUCUAUUUCUUAUUGUAUGAAUUCAGUACUUUGUAUUUUAAGAUAUUGUAUUGCACUUGUAACUCUGUAUAUGAAGUAAAUUUAUUCUCUGAUCUUAAUUGAUUAACCUUGCAUGAUGUUAUUUGAUGAAACUAUAAUUGUACUUAAUAGAAAUGUUCAGUUUCACAUUGUCCCUGUGCUUGUUAUGAUAUUGUGUGAUUAAUUACCCUGGUCAACCCAGAAACCGUGGGUAAAAUGAUUAUCUCUUAUAGAAUUGCCAUAAUGUAGUGUUCAAUUCUGUUAUUCAUGUCAUUUUUAUACUGAAAAAAGAAUAAAAAAGAUUUUUAUAUG
rnacentral:misc_RNA from 1 species